rnacentral:rRNA from 1 species
AUUGAACGCUGGCGGCAGGCUUAACACAUGCAAGUCGAGCGGAGAUGAGGUGCUUGCACCUUAUCUUAGCGGCGGACGGGUGAGUAAUGCUUAGGAAUCUGCCUAUUAGUGGGGGACAACAUUCCGAAAGGAAUGCUAAUACCGCAUACGUCCUACGGGAGAAAGCAGGGGACCUUCGGGCCUUGCGCCAAUAGAUGAGCCUAAGUCGGAUUAGCUAGUUGGUGGGGUAAAGGCCUACCAAGGCGACGAUCUGUAGCGGGUCUGAGAGGAGGGUCCGGCACACUGGGACUGAGACACGGCCCAGACUCCUACGGGAGGCAGCAGUGGGGAAUAUUGGACAAUGGGGGGAACCCUGAUCCAGCCAUGCCGCGUGUGUGAAGAAGGCCUUAUGGUUGUAAAGCACUUUAAGCGAGGAGGAGGCUACUGAGACUAAUACUCUUGGAUAGUGGACGUUACUCGCAGAAUAAGCACCGGCUAACUCUGUGCCAGCAGCCGCGGUAAAAC